rnacentral:rRNA from 1 species
GACGAACGCUGGCGGCGUGCCUAAUACAUGCAAGUAGAACGCUGAAGGAGGAGCUUGCUCUUCUGGAUGAGUUGCGAACGGGUGAGUAACGCGUAGGUAACCUGCCUGGUAGCGGGGGACAACUAUUGGAAACGAUAGCUAAUACCGCAUAAGAGUAGAUGUUGCAUGACAUUUACUUAAAAGGUGCAAUUGCAUCACUACCAGAUGGACCUGCGUUGUAUUAGCUAGUUGGUGGGGUAACGGCUUACCAAGGCGACGAUACAUAGCCGACCUGAGAGGGUGAUCGGCCACACUGGGACUGAGACACGGCCCAGACUCCUACGGGAGGCAGCAGUAGGGAAUCUUCGGCAAUGGACGGAAGUCUGACCGAGCAACGCCGCGUGAGUGAAGAAGGUUUUCGGAUCGUAAAGCUCUGUUGUAAGAGAAGAACGAGUGUGAGAGUGGAAAGUUCACACUGUGACGUUAUCUUACCAGAAAGGGACGGCUAACUACGUG